CACUCCGCCUGGGGAUACGGUCGCAGACUAAAACUCAAAGGAAUUGACGGGGACCCGCACAAGCGGUGGAGCAUGUGGUUUAAUUCGAUGCAACGCGAAAAACCUUACCACUUCUUGACAUGGAGGUUAGAUCUUUCUUAACGGAAAGGCGCAGUUCGGCUGGAUCUCACACAGGUGCUGCAUGGCUGUCGUCAGCUCGUGUCGUGAGAUGUUGGGUUAAGUCCCGCAACGAGCGUAACCCUCAUCCUUAGUUACCAGCGGGUAAUGCCGGGCACUUUAAGGAAACUGCCGGUGAUAAACCGGAGGAAGGUGGGGAUGAUGUCAAGUCAGCACGGCCCUUAUGGGGUGGGCUACACACGUGCUACAAUGGCGACCACAAUAGGUUGCAUGGGUCGCAAGA
rnacentral:rRNA from 1 species